AUUCCUUUCAACGUUGAAUGUAGCACAGACAUGUUACUAACAUAUCUUUCCGUGCCGGAUUUGCUUUUCCCCAUUCUUUUUUUCCUUUUCGGUUCUUUCAAACCAUUCGAUCUCGAGGAGGACGAGCUAGAUGGAGCACCGGAUCCAACUGAUUGAGGAUGAGCCGGACCUUGAGAUGAGACGAGAUUUGAUCCUUAUGUAUAUAGCUCAAGUCCUUCAUGCUCUAGAACGUAUGAAGCGGAUGAUUUGACUUUGACCUUUAGUUAUACUAAGAUUAUGCUACAUUUGGUACUUUGAAUUUGAUGAUCACUAAUGAAUUGAGAUGUUUUUAGUU